CUUGACCGAGAGGUCCGGGUAAUCUGCGAAACUGCAUCGUGAUGGGGCUAGAUUAUUGCAAUUAUUAAUCUUCAACGAGGAAUGCCUAGUAAGCGCAUGUCAUCAGCAUGCGUUGAUUACGUCCCUGCCCUU
rnacentral:rRNA from 1 species